rnacentral:lncRNA from 1 species
AGGAUUAGAGAUGUAAUUUGACAAAGUAAGACGGCGGCACUUGUGCAAGUAAGUUUACUUACAGCACCCCUUGUCCCAACUUCUAGCGCUUUUUGGUAGAUAAUUUCUAUGGCAUCCGGCAAUUCAGCAGCACCUGCAAUGUACACCACAUAAUCAGCAGAAUACAAGCAGAAAACUUAAAAAUUGCGAUCAGACAGUUUAUCGACAGACUAACCAUCCAUAUCUUGGAUAUGAUACGAUAGAUGCUCUGCUCGAUCAAAUGCAACAAUAAACCUUCGCUCUGCCCACAUCGAAACAGAUGAAGGCCGGCUAAAAUCUACAUUUUCUGAGGCGUUUGUUGAUGAGGCAGCACCUCCCUGCACAAGUGAGGAUUCAUUCGCUGAGCUGCCUUCAGGUGAUUUAUCCGCUUUAGAUGAUGCCAGCCAAGUGCUGCAAAUUUGAAGAGAUUUCUUCCAUAUGGCCAAAACAACAAGUUGAACCGAAAAUGAGUCUAGAACUAGUCCUGCAUUGUACUGCAACCAAAAGUAACAAUUACUUUAAUACAGACCCCUAAAAAAGUCGAGAGUAGUUGUCUAAUCAUGCUAAUAUAGUUAAAUUCCUUGAUACACUCUUGUAAAUAAAACAUAUUAUGAUAUUGAACUAAGUCUAGUGCAAUAAAAAUUAGAUGAGCACAUUCCAUGAUGUAGAACUGUAACUGACGCACCUUUUCCUGCGACAGAUCUGCAAGAACCUGAGCAUACUGAUGUAACAGAUGGACCCUAGUAGAAGGAUGCAGUAUAGAUAGUCCUUGCACUUCCAGUAACAGUGUUGAUUCACAAGAUGCUGGUAAUGUAGCUGAUCCACUAGUUUGUGAACUUUCUGCACCAACAGAACUAGCUGCCUGCUCCUCUGUUUUCAUUAGAACUGUUUUAUCAUGAUGGUGCUGCUUUGACGCACUGAUAGAAGCUCUCAUUGUGGAAUGAUGUUGCAGGGAAGAUUCAAGGUAAUACGAGAAAGAAUUGACCAUAACAUAGUCUUUCUCAAUGGACUCCAUUGAAUCAGAAACUGGAAGGCAAGGCAAACCAAAAUAAAUAAUUCAACAAACUAACAUAGCACAAGCAUAAUUAGGGAAUCCCAAACACAAAAACAGACCUCGAAGCUGAUCCGGCAAGUUUGGAUCUCGGGUAAUAGAUUUCCUCAUCCUAUGAGAUGCAAUAUCUUGCACCUGCCCUUGAACACUCCUAGUGCAGGAUAUACUGCCAUAAUUUCUUUGUGACAAUUUUUGGUCAUGUGCAGAUGGAAAAUCUGAACUCGGAUCUCUGCUAGAUGAGUUGGUGGUUUGCCUGGAACGCAUUUGCAGUAUCUUGUCGGAGACAGAAGAACUAAUCUGUUCGACCGUUGAUUUAAGUGAUGGAAGUACUGAAGGAUGAUCAACAUCCACUUGAUACCUACAUAUUAUAAAUAAGAAACAAUUGUAAUGACUGCAUACGUAUAGGUAGGUAUAGGUAGUAAUCUUACUUACUGGUAUCUAAUUUUUACUAAAAUGUCAAAUGUACUAUAGCUAAAAUCCAUGCGGUUUGAAAGCUAUGAAACUAAAUGCUUUACCUAGAAUCUCUGAGGAACUUGUGAUUGAAGAACUCCAUAAAUGAUAGUCGCUCAACUGCAAAUCAAGGUAUUAUUUUUUACAUGGUAGCUUUGUUGAGUAAACUCUUGAUAUUCACAUGUCACUAGUAGUAAAUCACACAUUAUUCAGCUCUGAAAUGUAAUUAAAUCAAAAUACAUAGGCAAGCAUAACACCAGAUACUUAAUAAUAUAUCAAUCAUGACCUGGAUUUUGACGUAACAGGCUUCUGCAGAGAUCUAUGUAAUCUGGAUGCAAUUCUUCCAAAGCACCUUGUGGAAACCUCAGUUCAGUCGAUGUCACGAUAUUUUGGAAAAG